rnacentral:rRNA from 1 species
GAAAGGGAUGCUAAUACCGCAUACGUCCUACGGGAGAAAGCAGGGGAUCACUUGUGACCUUGCGCUAAUAGAUGAGCCUAAGUCGGAUUAGCUAGUUGGUGGGGUAAAGGCCUACCAAGGCGACGAUCUGUAGCGGGUCUGAGAGGAUGAUCCGCCACACUGGGACUGAGACACGGCCCAGACUCCUACGGGAGGCAGCAGUGGGGAAUAUUGGACAAUGGGGGGAACCCUGAUCCAGCCAUGCCGCGUGUGUGAAGAAGGCCUUAUGGUUGUAAAGCACUUUAAGCGAGGAGGAGGCUCUUUUGGUUAAUACCCAAGAUGAGUGGACGUUACUCGCAGAAUAAGCACCGGCUAACUCUGUGCCAGCAGCCGCGGUAAUACAGAGGGUGCAAGCGUUAAUCGGAUUUACUGGGCGUAAAGCGCGCGUAGGCGGCCAAUUAAGUCAAAUGUGAAAUCCCCGAGCUUAACUUGGGAAUUGCAUUCGAUACUGGUUGGCUAGAGUGUGGGAGAGGAUGGUAGAAUUCCAGGUGUAGCGGUGAAAUGCGUAGAGAUCUGGAGGAAUACCGAUGGCGAAGGCAGCCAUCUGGCCUAACACUGACGCUGAGGUGCGAAAGCAUGGGGAGCAAACAGGAUUAGAUACCCUGGUAGUCCAUGCCGUAAACGAUGUCUACUAGCCGUUGGGGCCUUUGAGGCUUUAGUGCGCAGCUAACGCGAUAAGUAGACCGCCUGGGGAGUACGGUCGCAAGACUAAACUCAAAUGAAUUGACGGGGCCCGCACAGCGGUGAGCAUGUGGUUAAUUCGAUGCAACGCGAAGAACCUUACCUGGGCCUUGACUAAGUAGAAAC